GGAGUUAGCCGGUGCUUCUUCUGUGAGUGAUGUCCUUCCUGCCGGCUAUUAACCCGCAGGCCUUCUUCCUCACUGAAAGUGCUUUACAACCCGAAGGCCUUCUUCACACACGCGGCAUGGCUGGAUCAGGGUUGCCCCCAUUGUCCAAUAUUCCCCACUGCUGCCUCCCGUAGGAGUCUGGGCCGUGUCUCAGUCCCAGUGUGGCUGAUCAUCCUCUCAGACCAGCUACGGAUCGUCGCCUUGGUGAGCCGUUACCUCACCAACCAGCUAAUCCGACAUAGGCUCAUCCGAUAGCGCGAGGCCCGAAGGUCCCCCGCUUUCCCCCGUAGGGCGUAUGCGGUAUUAGCCUGGGUUUCCCCAGGUUAUCCCCCACUACCGGGCAGAUUCCUAUGCAUUACUCACCCGUCCGCCGCUCGCCACCAGGAGCAAGCUCCCCGUGCUGCCGCUCGACUUGCAUGUGUUAGGCCUGCCGCCAGCGUUCAAUCUGAGCCAUGAUCAAACUCUGA
rnacentral:rRNA from 1 species